GAAAAAGGUCGUGCUCUUGUACUAAAAUUGGAAGGAUACAGAGAAGAUUAGCCUGGCCCCUGCGCAAGCAUGACACACAAAUUCGUGAAGCUUUCCUUUUUUUA